GUUUGGUUUAUAUUAGCUCAAUCAGAGUGAUUGGCAGUUCGACAUUGAGAUGUUGUCUAGCUCGCACGAAAGAGCUGCGGGUUAACCCUCUGAAGUCGAUUACGUGUUUUGAGGCAUUUUCUCCUGAUAACCCCGAAAAGAACUUAAAUUACACUUUCAGUUUUGAUCGCACAGAUAAGAGCAAUACAUCAAUCGAAUCUGUAAAGGGUAAACUUUUAUUUGUAUCCACACAUAAUAACAACAAAACUUUGUGCAUUUAUAAAAUAAAGAAAACAAUCAAAGUGCGCUUUCUGCAGCCUUAGUCUGCGGUGAUCUUCAUUCGGAAACGCGUCAUUAAAGUGAACUGUAACUCAGUGAAUACUCAACGAAGAGACAUGAGAGAGAUAUCUAUAGAAAGCUUGACAUCUCUACUUUUAAACCAAGCAAGUGCUACCAAAAACAAAUAUUCUCUGAUAAAGUAAUCCAUAUGAAAACAACGCGAUGUCCGUCUUUCACGUCUCCCUUCAUUAUAUCUAAUGCGACCACACCCACGCGCCGAGCGCGCUAUUGAGAUUAUAAUCUUGAAGCUUGUGCGGGUAACCGCCCUCAUCAGAGCAAACAAAGCAGCGAGACUGUACUUCACGUUUUUUAAAUGUUACUGUUCGCUUCACGCUGAGAGGAAUACGAUUUGGAUUACCUCAGAAAGAAGAACGAAGCGGCUUGACCCAGCAGAGAUAAACAUGAAUAAAUAAUAACCUGUUGCAAAACGAGCCAAUGCAAAUAAGCAGCCCACUCAGGAACCUGGAACACAGCUAAGACCAAGCGAGGCACACACUCCCAUCUCUUCAAAGUCUCUUCAAAAAAGUAUGUCCUUCAGAGCACAUAAACAAUAUACAAUUUGGAAAUGCCAGGUAUGUGAUGUUCAUUUAUAUAUUUCAACAUGACACAUGAGCCUGCAUUUAUUUGAUCCAAAAUACAAAAAGUUGCAUUUGUAAUACAAUAUUACUGCAUACAGUAAUAUUGUGAAAUAUUUUUUGCUAUUUAAAAUAACUGGUUUCUAUUUGAAUAUAUUUUAAAAUUAAAUUUAUUCCUGUGAUCAAAGCUAAAUUUUCAGCAUCAUAACUCCAGUCUUACUCCAAGUGUAACAAUAUACACUAUACCAUUUAAAAGCUGGGAGUCAGUGUGUGUGUGUAUAUAUAUAUAACUUAUUUAGCACACAAGUGAUGAAAAAU
ensembl:lncRNA